CCAGAUUUUACUUUCAUCGUCUCACGCACAAGCCUCAUUCUACUGUCCUGUCUCGACUCUCCCUAAGGAAAACCAUUCUUUUUCUUUGGUUUUCAUUACAAGAAUCUGUUUGUAUAGAAUUGUUCCUCAGGUAAGAUUCAGAAUAGGCCUUUUCUUUUCUAAUAAAUUUCUUACUAAACAUGAAGUAGUUUCAGACUUUCAGUUUCAUUUUUGGUUUAUUUUUGGAACUUUAUUCUUGAGGCUUUACAUUUCCUGCUAAAUUCAGUAGAAUUAUACUUGUAGACUUUUUAUUAAAAAUUGUCGUUGUGUUAUUGAUUAUGAUUCAUACAGUAACGGGCACUAGAUUUUACCAUCUACUUCUAUACUUUAUAUGAUUUAAUCAUAAAUUGUGUGUUCUAUGUUGGAGUUUUCAUGCUCAGUUUCAUUAAAGAAUAAGAUAAAGGUCUUACAAUUAUAACUGGUACCAAAAAAAUGAUUUCUUCAUUGUUUAUCUAUUUUUCUCAGUAGAUAGAUUGUUCUGUUGGUAUUUUUCUAAUGUAUUCACCAUAUGUAAUUAUGUAGUGGACCCCCCUUGGAUAGGGCUCGUCAAAAUUGAAAUCCGUUUAAAGAUUUACUCUCGUUUUGAUUGUAUCUGUACUUAGUUUUUGAUUUGAUUUGUAGCUGAAGUAAAGAAUGAUGUCACUUAUCAUUAGUUUUGAUUAUCACUGAUUUAGGUGUCAACGAAUCCUUGAUUCAUCGUCUAGUGUUUUAAAAUGCGUCACAACUCCACUGGACAAUAAAUUAAAGGGUUCAAUGCCACCUAAAUGAUCAUCGAAUAGCAUUACUUAUUCUGUCGUACAAAUUUUGCUUGUUGUAGUUAAGUGGAAAUUGAUUUUUCUUAAUUUAACUAGUAAAAUUUGUUGGGACUCAAGAAAUUUUGGGCCUCGAUCUAUCCAAAAAGAUUUGAUUUCUUGGUUUUGACUUUUUAGCAUAUGCAUUGAAUGUUGUUCAGAGUUAUUACUAAAUUAGAAGAAAAUUGGCACAACUAUAUAUGCACUAGCAGAUUUUUUUCUUCAAGCUUUUUCUUUUUCUUGUUUUCAAAAAAAGGAAAGAAAAAAGGGUUGAGUAUCAACCUUGAGGGCCUCACUGCCCCGGUCCUGAAGUAUCGUGAGAGAGGUAAAUCGCGGGAUGUGUUCCAACAGGCCAGAUAACAAGAGCUUGCCCGUACACUGGUGCCCACAAAGAGUCCAAUUUUAUAUCGCAAGAAUUGAACCAUCACACUGCGAUUGUCAGUAAAGUUGAGACUAUCUUACUCUUAUCUUUUGCACCACUGAAAUAUGUCUUGGGGGCUUCUUGUUUUUCUUUUCUUGGUGUUUGGGGAAAGGGUAAGGGGGACAGAAAUCAGAAGGUACACUGAAAUUUUAAAUGGAGUUUCUAAUCUGAUUUCAAAUGGAAUAAUUCUUAGUCUUAUUCAUCCGCCACCUUGUCAAGCGUCAAAGGAACUCCCAAUCCUAUCUAAUGCAGCUGUGUAGAUUGCCUUUGACAAUUUAUCAACUUGCUUGAUUUGCUUUUGCUUUCCUGUUUGCAGUGUUGUACUUUCAUGAAGUUUGCAGUAUAUUCUUGGAUAAAAGCUCACAAGUUUUAUUCUUUUUUUUUUAUACUCAGGUGUCCCAGCUUCGUCAGACUAAAUCCUGAAUCUCUAGCCACCGACCCCUCAGUGACUAGUGGAGGUAAACCGCAGGUUGUGCCCUUGUUGGAUCACAGGUUCCCACCCGAUCUAAACUCCUGGCCUCAAGAGAGUUUUCCUCCAUAGUGAUUGAUCCACCAAUAAAUUGCCCCUUUAUUGGAUCACAGGUUCCCACCAGGAAUCGAACUCUCCACGUUCUUCUGUAGUCAUAUGCAGGUUAUUGUUAAACAUUUUUGUGAUCGAUGGCUUCACCAUGUCUUGAUACUUCCUGGCCAUUCUCAAUCAUUAGAUCCUCCGAUCGAUCUUUCAAUAUACGCCUAGAGGAAGGAAAUUCAACUGAUACCUUAGAUUUUUUUAAGGACAAAAACUCUUCAGUAUGUCACAGUCGUAACAUUCCUAUACCUCCUUGGCCACCUAGUAAAAUUU
rnacentral:lncRNA from 1 species